rnacentral:rRNA from 1 species
AGUGAACGCUGGCGGUAGGCCUAACACAUGCAAGUCGAACGGCAGCACAGUAAGAGCUUGCUCUUACGGGUGGCGAGUGGCGGACGGGUGAGGAAUACAUCGGAAUCUACUUUUUCGUGGGGGAUAACGUAGGGAAACUUACGCUAAUACCGCAUACGACCUACGGGUGAAAGCAGGGGAUCUUCGGACCUUGCGCGAUUGAAUGAGCCGAUGUCGGAUUAGCUAGUUGGCGGGGUAAAGGCCCACCAAGGCGACGAUCCGUAGCUGGUCUGAGAGGAUGAUCAGCCACACUGGAACUGAGACACGGUCCAGACUCCUACGGGAGGCAGCAGUGGGGAAUAUUGGACAAUGGGCGCAAGCCUGAUCCAGCCAUACCGCGUGGGUGAGGAAGGCCUUCGGGUUGUAAAGCCCUUUUGUUGGGAAAGAAAAGCGGCAGGUUAAUACCCCGCUGUUCUGACGGUACCCAAAGAAUAAGCACCGGCUAACUUCGUG